GAAGGACUUUAGGUUCUACUUUGAUUUCGAGCAUUUGAAAGAAGCUGCUUCUGUCUUGGAUGAGGCUCAGUUUUGGGCAGAGUGGGGGAAGUUGCAUAAUAAGAAGACUAGGUUGGGCCUUCAUCUCGUGGAGGACUUUAGGGUCACGCCCAUGAAGCUUUCCGAUGUCAAAGACACGUUGAUCAUGAGGAAGUUCGGGUCAGUAGAGCCUGAUAACUACUGGUACAGAGUUUGCGAGGGAGAUGCAGAAUCUGUCGUUAAAAGACCGUGGCAUCUUCUCUGGAAGUCAAGAAGGUUGAUGGAGAUCGUCUCUGCCAUUGCUUCGAGGCUAAACUGGGAUUACGAUGCAGUGCAUAUCGAGAGAGGAGAGAAAGCUAGAAACACGGAGCUUUGGCCCAAUCUUGAAAAAGAUACUUCUCCGAGUGCUCUCUUGUCGACCUUGCAGGACAAAGUAGAAGAAGGAAGGAAUCUCUACAUCGCAACGAAUGAAGCGGAACUAUCUUUCUUCAACCCUUUGAAAGACAAGUACGCUACUCAUUUUCUUGACGAGUACAAAGACCUGUGGGACGAGAGCAGCGAGUGGUAUUCGGAGACCACAAAGCUUAAUGGAGGCAACCCGGUCGAGUUUGAUGGUUACAUGAGAGCAUCUGUUGAUACAGAAGUGUUCUUGAGAGGGAAGAAGCAGAUUGAAACAUUCAAUGAUCUUACAAACGACUGCAAAGAUGGUGUUGGGACUUGCAACGUUGCAGCUACUUGAUCUUCUAUCUUUAGAUUCCUCACUUUCUUUGUUGUUUGAACCACCUUGUUCCACUUGUUUUUAGUUUUGUCCUUGUAGAAUAGCUUUCUUUCCCAUAACUGUUGUUUCGUCUUUGUUACCUUUAGACCAGUAUUCGACCUUCUGUUCCUUCUAUGGUUUGGUUCUAUAUCUUUAUAAUGCAAAACAUCAAGGAAUAAGAUACUGAUGAUACACAAAAUCGAUUCGGUACAACUAACAACAACAGUAUCAUUUCAGACCUCUAGCAGAAGUGAUGCGAAAUUUUAAAAGAUGUUUCAUCGUCUGUGUUUACUUCCGGUCUUAUCCUUCUUCAUCGGAAUAAGAGUGAGCUUCUUCUUGCCUGAGGAGUCUGCUAUGGCGUCAGCUUUCUUGAGCAAUGAUAUGGCAACUUGAUGCGGUCUUUCGUUUACAGUCUUCUCAUCCAUGAACGGUUUAACCUCAAAGGUUCCUCUUGUGAAAUGUCUAGCAACCUACAAAAAGACAUUUGUGCCUCAGUUAAUAAUCAGACACAACCUCAUCGAUGCAUAACUUCUGGCUGAAGGAUUUGAAACUUACCUUUAAGAGAAUCCAUACUUUCAGGGCACUACUUAGGAUUGCAAGCCUCGUCCUCUUCCCCGUAGUCAAGAAGCUGGACAUAUGACUGUCCACACGCAAUAUGAAUCUUGGCCAAGACUUGGGGUUUUCCAGGUCUCCUCUUUUCUCCAUCUUUGCCUGAAACAUUUAGCUCGUCAAGACAUGGAACAAAAGAAUCUGAGGUUGUAAUGUUAAUGCACUCACGAGCUGCCGACAAAUCUCUUGUUCAAUUUUUGAAAAGGAAGUCUCUAGUGCCUCCACUCUACCAGUUGCGUGACAGCAAGAACACGGUUCACUAAUCAUGAAUGUUACACUCGGCCGAACCUGUAGAUGAAAAAAAGUAGAUUCACUGCAAUUAAGUAUAAAUCAAGAGCUCACAUUUGUAUCAGUAUACAGUGGACGCGCUACACCAAGACACAUGAUUACAUGCUUUACAGGAAGAGUAAAAUAUCCACAAGUUGAGGGCUAUACCCUUUUUCUAGUAAUCUCCAUGAGUCCGUGUCUAGACAGCUCUGAGACUUUUACCAGUGACCUAUCUUUCUCCACUGCUUUCUUAACCUCUUCAUAAACGAGUCUUUUAUUUGCUGAAACACACAAAGGCACAAGAAUAUACAAGAGAUAAUGGAUUUUCCCAUCCACAACUUUUAAGAAUAUAAUUGCACAAAUAACAAUGACAUUCAAACUCACAUUCAUCUGCCAUGUCAAUGAAAUCUACCACAAUGAUACCCCCUAUAUCUCUCAGUCGAAUCUCCCUUGCGAUCUGCAUCAUUAUUGCAUCAAGAAAUAAUUAAUAAAUACUUUGCAAGAUUAGCAUAUUGCAAAAACUGAGAAGAUUCCAAGGAUAACUACACAAGACAAGUAGACCUCGCACAGUUACUCAAUGUUAAAAUUUUGUGAAGGCAUUCACCAAGAAUCAGAUUAUAGAUGUGUAGAAUAGAAUAAUUAUUAAGGCAAUUUUAGAAGCAGAUUUUCUGCCGUAAGGCUCGGCAAAUGAAUAUGUAAUCCACCAGCAAAAUAUGUAUCACAUACUUGUCUGGCAGCAGUAAGGUUAACUUCCAAAAUAGCUUUCUCCUGUGAAUUACCCUGACCAAACAUUCCAUGUCCUCCGUUCACAUCAAUAGAGACCAACGCCUCAGUUUGUUCAAUCACUAACGAACCUCCAUUGGGGAGUGGAACUCUGCAAGACGGAAAAGAUCAUUUACAUGAAGAUAUCUAGGAAGGAAAAAGUGGGUGACAUGGGUCCAUACCUUUUACUGAGAAUACCUUCAAUCUCCUCCUCAAUGUUGUAUAAAUCAAAAAGAGGGAUACCCUUAUCAUGCAAUUCCACUCGAUCACAAAGAUCAGGUGCCAUAUCCUGCAGGUAGUUUGUGACCUGGAAACUAAUACUCGUUAGUGAAAUGGUUUGCAUACAGUAUCCACCACUUGGGUAAGCCGUUCUAGUAUAUGGGAAACGUAUAAACACUAGCAAGUGCAGUAGUUGGUAGCGAAAGAAAAUGACACGUGCAGCUAUAGAUAUUUUCUUUAGCAUUUGAAAAUAUUAUCAAAGAUUUGGUGUAAAUCAACAAUUGUAUGAGGGUUAUAAGACCCAUUGUUUACAACAAGGAAAUGUUUCUUUCAACACACUAUCCAUUUCUUAAUAAAUUCACUUGAGCAGAAUGGGGAAAAUGUACCUCAUGGUAUGUCCUGGGAGAGUCAACCACCAUCUUCUCAACCUAUAUUAAAUAAAAAAUUUACUAUCACUUGACAUGUCAACCAAUAGAACCUAAAGGAGCCACAGGAGGAGGAAAAUAUGGACACUAGCCUAACUACCUUGUCAUUGAAGUAGUCCUGUACAACUGAAAGUGUUUGACCCAUUGCUCUAUGUAGCAGUGCUGGAAUGGCUCCUUCCACACCUUCAUCUGCGGCAAGGGACGCAGAUUUUGCUUCUUCCGUUAUGGUCUUCCAGGUUAAAAGCAGACCUUCUAAGUCUUUCUGUAAUUCUUCUAGAGAAUGGCCAGCAGCUACAGUCCUUACAGUCAGGCCAAAACCCUGAGGCUGCAAUGUUUUUGCUAUAACUUUUAACCGGGUUCUCUCAAUUCCUGAGAUCUUUUUAGAGACUCCAAUUCGUUUGCAACGAGUCAUUAAUACCUAUAAAGACAUACUUCACUCAGAAAAUAGAAUAAUAAGAAAGAAAUGAUUAGAGUUACAAUGCCAUACCCAGAAUCUGCUUCUCAGUUUUGGGUAAGCAGUGAGAGUUGGACCUUUCGUACCAAGGCCCUCUUUAACAACUUGCACAAUUAUCUUGGUGCCUUUCCGAACUUGAAUCCACUUGUUAUCCCUAGACGACACAUUCUUAGGAGACUUUGCAACUGAUGCAUUAGACACAAGAGAAUCUGAAUGUUCUCUCUCCAGAGGAACGAAGCCAUUCUCAGAUCCAACGUCAAGAUGUAGCUCAUCUCCUUGAUUGCAUUUGUCAGAACCACCUUCCACUCCGCCAUGGUUAACGACAGUUCCAUUAAUUAGAGCAUCGGAGACAUGAUCUUCAUCAUUUUCAUGAUCAUCGUCAUCAUCAUGAAAAGAUUCCCCAGGGUCAUUUGAAUCAAUGUCUAAUAAACUACUUGCUUCAAAGUCAUAGGAGGCGUGUUCGGUUUCAUGUGGAGCUGGAAUGUUGGUAAUGGAGUCGAACCGAGAACCAUCAGCUGCUUGCUUCUUUGAUCCAUCACAGAAUGGAGGGAAUAUGAAUGGUUCCCUGUUUGGCUUAAUGUCCAUGAAAGAAUGUCUAGAACUUCCGAUAUUCACAAAAGCACCACCCAUAUGAGGCACAAAUUUAGUGACUACGCCCAGGUAAACACUAUCACAUUGCACGUUGGUCUUAACUGGUUCCAACAACAACUCAACCAGCUUCUCACCAUCCAAUACAGCAAUCCUUUGCACGGUACAUAUAGACGAGUUGAUGAGUAUCGUAGUAGAAAUGGGUUCUCGUUUGAAAAAUUCAUCAUCAGGUAAGAGAGUCUCAGCCGGCUGGUGCUUUUCCUCAUCAGUAUCUAAGUCGUUUUCAAUUUCUUCACUGCUUUCAACAACUUGUUCGCUAUCAGACUGCAUAUUCCUUGCAUGUUGCAAGGUAACAGGUUCCUGAAGAAACCAUGGUUCCUCAAUAGGCUGAUAGUUGUCAGAAAAUAACGCACUAAAAUCUGAGUUAUCUGAUGAGAAGGUUGCAAGCUCAUCACUAAAGAAAGAUUCAUCUUCUAAUUGUUUAUCAUUCAAAAGUGGUCUUGGGACUUCCACAGCAGUAUCGGAGAGAGUGCAUUCAUCUGCCAAAACACUGGAAGCAUUUGAGUUUUAAAAUAUUUUACAAAUGAUGAAAAGAGACUAAAAGAGGAGGAGCCACCCAGAUGUGUUACCUUCGCUAUGACCUGAAGUAACAGAGUUUGGUAAAAGGUGAGCAUCAUCGAUCCAAGAACCCCAUAAGUAGGAGUCUUGUGAUUGAGAGGAAACACUCAUCCAUGAAUCCCUUAUGAUUACUUUUCUGUCUCCAUUGACAGCCGAAGGCAGAGAUAAGGAAAACUGGGGCCCUGGUCUCCAGAUGACGUCAAAGGAAGAAUCAUAUCCAGCUUUUAAAAAAUAAUUGUACCUGAAACUGACACCAGAAGCAAUCUGCCAAGCACAUUAAGUUAUAAGCAUACGAGACUUGAACUAGCUAAUGAUACAUCUCUACUUACGUUCCCUAUGGCUUAAAACGAAACAAAUAAAUGGAUAUACCUUGACUUUAGCUUCCCAUUGAUUAUCAUUCCCAGUGGGAUACAUUGAAAUGGCGCAGUCUGGCUCCCAGCUACCUAAAGCGGAAGGAUCUCCAGUAACGUAGAGAUGUUCGUUGGGUGCAAGGUCAGCUUCCACGAUCCAAACAACCUCGCAUAGUCCUUUGAGAAGCCUGGCUGGAUGUUCUGAGAAUGCAGAAAACAAAAGUUACGACUCAACUGAGUUUCCAUAAACAGAAAAGGUUUGGUCUCCCAGUUACCUUGUUGUGCAGCAGUUAUAGUAGCAGACCUUGCACGGAUACGAGAGACCCCAAAGCACAAGGUGAGCCUAAACCUCUGUCCACGUUCGAUAUGAGAGAACAUAUAUCUGUUGAACGACAGAGAUUCUACUAAGUUCACGGAGAAACAAAGUACAAACACAUAGUCAAUCUUUCAGAACAGGCAUAGCUUUCAGAAAUGUGUAGCCUAGCCAUCACCAGAUGGAUAUACACAACCAGUUUCAGGUGCAAUGUUUAAACAAUCCAACAUCUUCCCGAAAACUAAAACUCUCAAUUCAUUCAAGCUCUAAGUCUCUAAAGCUUUUAAAGACCAAUAAGAAAACCCAUCUCAUAUAUCCAAAAGCUUCAAUUUUUAAUGAGAGCACAUACAAAGUGUAUGCUACAAUGCCUCAAUGAAAGAACUUACGAAGAAACAGGAAACCCAGAAGAAACAAGCCAUGAGGAGCGUGGAGAAACUGAAAAUUGAGGAAGACGGCGCCACGGAACUUCAGCGACGUCCAUGGUGUUGUUGAGUCAGUCUCCUGGAAACGGAGUUAAUCAGUAGCGCCGAGGUGGUGAAAGAGCGAGAGAGAUGAAGAAGGAGCUUGGGUUUGGUUUCAGAGAGGCCGAGCGAGAGCUAAGAAAAUGGACUCCGGGGAGGGAGGGAGGGAGGGAGGGAGGUGAAGUGAAGCAGAUGACGAUAACGGGAGGAUAUGGUCUCUCUCCUCUUUCUCUUUGGUGGCUUUGGCGCCUUGUUGUUGUGGCACGUGUCUUGGAUAUCAUUUCAUACGUGUGAAGCUCUCUAAGCCCAAUAACCAAUUAUUAUAUUUUUGGUAUCUUUCUUUCAGGUCCAUUCUCAGCCCAACUGAUAAGCUUCUCUAGUCAUUUGUCGAAUGAUUCUCCACUGGGUCAAGAUUUCAAUCUAUCUAUUUUUUUUUUAAACAAAGUGUUUUUUUUUAAUAAUAAACUCUUAUUUCACCAAAUAAAUACUAAUUUCUGCCGAUGUCAAACAAUAAAUAAAAAAUACUAAUUUCUGCCAUUAUAUUUCCAUCUUUAAUAAUAUCAGGUAAAUCAAAUCGGUUGUAUCUAAACAUAUUUAUUUAAAAUAUAUACUAUCAAUUAUAUUUUUUGUGUUAUGAAAAAUUUUAUAUGUCUAUUUUAUAAAAAUAAACACAUGUACGGAUGCACGGAUCAAGUUCUAAUUAUAUUUAGAGCUGUAGUAAGCUUUCUUUUAGGUUAUAGAAAGAGUAGUGAAUUUAGGAUAUGAUUAGCAAGGUUUUACUAUUGUUUAUUAUUAAAUAAAUUAUGUUAGAUCAUUUCCAACUCAUCAAUAUUUAGAGAAUAAACAUUCUUUUUAUUUUUUAAAACGAAUUUCCAUACAACUGCGUAUUUUGGUUGAUUUUGCAAAGAUGGACGUUUAGAUUAGUGUGACUAACAUCGAGCACGGUGUCGAUGCAUUCAUCAGCUACAUGUCUUUUUUUUUUGAUAAAUAUGUGAAUAUCAUUAUCAAAUGAAGGAGUUUUGCUUUUACAAAAAGUUUAAAACCUGAGACCAAUCUAAGACAAAAAAAAUAAAAACAGAGAGAGGCCUAAGAGAGCUAUAAUAACUAAUAUAAGCAAAGUGAUAGAAGCUUAGUCAUAUCUGAGCCAAGCUUGCAUCGGUUUCUUAAAGUUCUUGCGUUUUUGUCUCGCAAGUAUGAAGUCUCGUAUCAGUUUGUCAAUGGACUUGAAGAGGACUAGAGGCGGAGUGGUGGAGUUGUUGUGAAGGCGAUUGUUUCUCUCCUGCCAUAUUUUGUAAAUGGUGGCAUGAGAGACGAGUUUGCGAAGAAUGGAGGAGCAUAUGUUGUCCUUUAUGUCUAACCAAGAGAUGAAGGCUGUCCAAGUGUGGAAGAGUGUCUGCCUGUACCCAAGCCGAGUUGUAACGACAGACCAAAUAUGUUCACUGUAAGAGCAUCUGAGGAAAAGAUGAUCUCGCGUUUCCCGGUAAGUGUUGCAGAUGCAGCAACAAUCAGCAAUCUGAAGUCCCCAUGACACCAGACAUGAUCGAGUUGGUAAUCUGUCUAGCUGAGCGACCCACAUCAUGAAUGCAUGGCUUGGUGUUGAACCUUUAAACCAGAUAACGUCUGACCAAACUUGAGUCUGACCACGAGGACGAAGCGCUUCCCAUGUUAGCUUUGCAGAGAAAGAGUUUGUGCUCACAUCAGCAACCUGCCAGUAAUAAGAAUCUGCUGUAGGUGAGAGAGAGGGCAAUGGAAUCGAGCACAAGAAGAUUUGGAAAUCCUCUGCCUGGGCGGAGCGGGCAUGUCUGAUUCUCCAUCCUGUUUCAGAGCAAGCCGAAGCCGGAGCGGGAAUGUCAGCUACAUGUCUUUCCAAACAGGAAUCGACUCCGCCUCCCAUUCUUUUUGAUCAAACAUAACUUUUAUUCAGAGGAAAUAGUUCUACACUCCAACAGAGGAGGUAAGUACAAUAACACUAGCUAGAGCCGAUUUGAAUUCAUAUUUACAAAUGUGACUAUGAUGUCACUUUGAAUUCUACUAAAUAAAUCAAGUGAUGGUAUUUCUUGAGACUUAGCGUGUAUCCAUGUUGGUCAUGAGUUUGAUUUUUAUUAAAUUAAAUGAUCGGCCCACCUCUUAAAAUUAGUCGGAAAUGAUUUUAAAUUCGGAUCAGAUAUGUAGUAACCUGUCUACUCUAUUACACUAAAAUAAAUUCUACUAAUAUUGCAUAUGGUUGAUGGGUCGUUCGGGACCACUUAGGGACAGCAAAAUAUGGGGAUCAUCAACAUCUGGCACUAACUUCUUUAGUUUAGAAGGUGAAGGCUAAAGGUUUGACUGGUAUUAUUAGCGUAAGGCAGAGUAAAAAUAAAUAGUGGAAAAGAGUGGAAAUAAAAAUGAUGGGAAAGAAUGUUGAUCAGCUUCAAGAUGUUGUCACUAAACUUGAGAUCGAAUUGGAUGCGGUGGAACUCGAGAUGGAUAGAGGUUAGUUAGUUAGCACUCUUAUCAAAUUAUGUGGCAGCUUGUUAGAAGGUUUUUGUGUAUUUCAUAUGAAUAAUCGUCUUCUUCUUUGGACGAUAGGUGGAUUUGCUAUGAAGAAACAGAUGCUGGAUGAUAGAAGGUUCCCGAAAUUGCAUCUCAACUUGCAGCGUCUCUUGCAGGUAUGUGUCACCAAGCCUAAAGCUUAUAGAACACUCUCUCACUGUCUCUGCAGUAACUUUUAUUGUUUGUAUCUACUCUUGAGUUAGAACAUUUGCAUGAAUCUCAGGUGAUUGCACAUGGAGAACAAGUGUUUCCAAGAGUGAAGGAAAAAUGUUCCACGAAGCAUUGGUUUCUUGCAGAAGAUAUCAACUCUUUGGAGGAGUUGAUUGGGAGGUUGAGACGUUUAAAAGAGAAUGUAGGAUUCAUUGCGAACCGUGUGAAUGCAAUCCAAGCUGGUUUGGAUAGUUGGCAAGCUGAGCAAAUCAACCGAAAGCUCUAUUACCUCUCCUUUCUUUCCAUCAUAUUCCUUCCUCUAUCAAUCAUCACCGGAGGUUAUAUAUAAAAACUCGCCAAAAGCCUCAAUACUCUGUGUUCUAUUCAUCACACGGAACUCUACCUAACCUUUUUGUUUUUACUGUGCCAGUUUUUGGGAUGAACGUUGGAGGAGUUCCUUGGACGGGACAAAGCAAACCUGAGCUAGCUGAUGGAUUUAGAAACGUGAUGUACAUAUGUCUCAUAAUGCUGGUUGUAGUGUUGUCCUGCUUUGGUUUUCCAGCCUUAUAUAGUCGGAUUGCCUCUUGGUGGAGAAUGAGAGCUAUGAAUAGAAGUUGGUCUCUUAAUAGGAGAUCGUUCCAGAAGAGACCAAACAUAGUUCAAGAAAGAAGAGGAUAUCUUAGGCUCUAAAACCAUUAUAUGACUUCAAAGACUUGUAUUGAAAUCUUUCAUUUGCGUUUCUUUCACGUUUCUUCUUCAUUUGCAGAACAUACUACUUUUCAUCAGCUUCUUGUGUACUUUGUACUUCUUACAGAUUUUUUUUUUACUUCGCAUAUUGUUCUGCUGUUUAGAUCUUGAGUUAAACUACAAUGUACAGCUACUAUUCUUUUAAUUCUUUAUCUGUUCUUCAUUUAAAAUGUUUACUUAAAUGGCCAAACUAAUCAAUCACAAACUAGUUACAUCAUUUUUAAGUUAUACUUAUAUUUGAUUGAAUUUGAAGUAUAUAUUUGCAUUUAAAUUCAUGUUUGGCAAGUGUCUGAAGAAAAAAUGGCCAAAAAGGUAUAAAUUUUUAUAUAUUUAAUUUUUGAAGUAUGAAUGCAAAAUUAUAUUAAUAUUUUAAUAUUAAAUAUUUUAGAAUUUGAUGAACUUACACUAUAUUUUUAUGAUAUGAGAUUUUCAAAAGAUACGAUAUAAUAAAUAUUAUGUAUUUAUGUUUAUAAUUUAAAGAUUAACUAUUGGUAAAGUUUUGUGCAUAUAAUUAUAUAAAACUACAAAUAAUGAUGCUUUAAAUGUAAACAAUGCCUUCCCAAUUUUUAAGUGCAAUCUUGGUUUAUUAAUUGGGAAAUUGGUCUGAGUAGCUAUGAAAUAAAAUAUAAUUAGGUAUAUAACUAAAAAAAUUCCUUCAAUUAUUACUACAAUAUAUACUAUAUUACCCCUUCUUCUAGUUAAUACGUGCACAAACUUCUUCUUCUUCACUUACCUACCACCGUCACUUCUUCCAGUUCACUGUCAUUUUUUGAUAAAAAUAUCAAUAAUUUUGGACCUCUAUCUAUCACCAUAGUAAUUAUCAUUAUUGCUUUUAUUUAUUAACCAAUUUCCCUUAAAAACCACAAUCUCCUUGAUAUCAGUCGCUACUUCUUCCGUCGUAACUACCACCACUCGUCUGUACUGUAAGUUUCCGGCUGUACUAUGUUGUUUGAACGAUGUGUACUAUGCUAUUUCUUUGUUACUAUUUUAUUUUAUUAAUAUUUCAUAUUAUGUAUUAUGUGCAUAUUAUGAUAUUUAGGUUAUGAUUUAUAUUUCCUUUUAGGGUUUAGUGAUUAGUGUUUUGAGUUUAGUUUAUGGAAGGUUUAGAUUGACAUUGGGUUAAACAUUAUCUCUUUCCUACAAUCAUAGACAUUUCAAAAAUUGAACAAUAUGUACUAUGUUAUUUUUUUUGUUACUAUUCUAUUUUGAUAAUAUUUCAUAUUGUGUACUAUGUACAUAUUUUGAUAUUUGGGUUAUGGUUUAUAUUUUUUUUAGGAUUCAGUGAUUAUUGUUUUGGAUUUAGUUUAUGGAAGGUUUAGGUUGACGUUGGGGUAAGUAUUAUCUCAUUCCCUGCAAUCAUAGACAUUUCAAAAUUUGAACAAUAUGUACCAUGUUAUUCGUUUAUUACUAUUCUAUUUUGAUAAUGUUUUAUAUUAUAGACUAUUUACAUAUUUUGAUAUUUGAGUUAUAGUUUAUAUUUUUUAGGGUUUAGUGAUUAUUGUCUUGGGUUUAGUUUUGUUAAUUUUAGACAUACAUGGUAUAUUAAUAUAUUUAAAUCAUUUUAUAAUUUCACUAAUAUGAACUAUAUCAUUUAGCAUGUUAUAUUCUAUUUAUAUACUACCACUAUAAUCACUAUCAUCGUGGAUGCCAUAGUAACCAAUCUAGCAACACUUUUUAUUUUAUUUUUUAUUUGAAAGACAGAUGCUAUGUUAUAUCUAAUCUAUUAAAAUAGAGUCCUAUUUAAAAUUAUCAUGGCAUAAUUUUUUUGGACCUAUUGAAAAUGUCGUGACUAAAUAUAACACACACUUCAUAUCUCUCUUAUUAAUAAUGUAUAUAAUUUUCACUAAGGGUACAAUUAUCAUCUAAUUCUUAGAAUAUUCGACUGAAUUAAAGUUAACAUACCUCAUAUUUGACAAUUAUAUGAUUUAACCUACUUCAUACACGUUUUUUUUGGGACUGAUACACGUUUUUUUCCCAAUUCAGUUCUUCUGUGUUUGUGCAUCUCAUCAUCAUCUAUCAGCAAUGGCUAUUUGUUCUGUAGUGAGUAGAAAAACCCUAGACAGCUUGAAGGAGACGUCUUCAAGGUUUCUGGGUUUCCUCAGAAUCCUAUCCUUUACGCUUCCUGAUCUUAACUACGAUUACAAUACGUUGGAGCCAUCGACAGCGUCGAGAUUAUGCAGACGUAUCACCAGAAGCAUCAUCCACUAAUUACAACCAUUCCCUUGAGUAGCUGGAUCAGGCUGUGAACAAGGAGAUGCUAGCGGAAUGCCAUACAGUUAAACGGUGGAGGUUUUUUAAAUUUUUUUAAUUUUUUUUAUCUCGGCUCUGUUUUGUUCUGUUGGUUGUGGAACAAGAAGAUGCUUCCAUGGUUGUCAAGUUGCAGAAUACCAUAAAGUUAAACAGUGGAGGUGUUUUGAAUUUCUUUUAAUUGUUGAUCUCGACUAUAUUGUGUUAUAUUGGUUGGAUCUCAGAAUAGAUAAAUAUAAAAGUUACAGUCUUUUGAUCAAUCAAGUUGAGUUAAAGAAGUUUAGUUGUUAAGGUAUUUGAGUUAGUAGAGAAAUCUGGUUUUGCUGAUCAGUUUAGUUGUGGUGAGUAUAGUCUGAUAUCAAGAAGGAAUCUCUUUUAGAGCGGAUUCAAAGUUUGAUUAGUAAUGAAAGCUGGUUUAGGAGGUUCUUAAGGCUACUGAGUCUUGAGAUCAUAACCAAAUAUAUAUGAUUGAUAGUUUAAGGAAACCCAAGAAAAAAUCGAGCAGAAGUUUUGGGUUUUAUCUUUGUUCUUGAUGUUUCCCCAAGAAGCAAUGGAGAAUGAGUGUUUUUUGUGUGUAAGAGAAUGAAAGUGAUUGACUUUAUUACUAAUGUACAAGUCAUGUGAACCACUCAUUUUUGGACGAACCUUGCUGCUGUCAACAUGAGUUUGUAGUCUCUUUAUGUAUCUUCAAUUAUUGUUCUUUGCUUAAUGGUGUGUAUUUGUAACAUAUUACAGCAAGUUCGUGGAGAGCAAUCGAAGGGAGCUUUUGGUGGCGCCAUAAACACUAACUUUAGCCUCUAGAAGGUUUGGUGAAAAGAAUGAGUAUUGAAAUUACUGUUCUGCAAACAAAUCAUGAUGAGUGUUAGUAUUUAAAUUUUUAGGAUAGCAACGAGCCUAUAUCAGUAUGGAUAACUUACAAAAACAGAAAGAAUAGAGCUUCAAAAAUUAUCCUAAUCGAGUUCCUAAAGGUAGAGUACAUGUAUAGAUUUUAAAAACUCAUAAACUGAUUAGUUUAUAUUGGGCCAAUGGUUUAUAACUUUUUUUUUCAAUGGGUUAGAAAUUAAUUUUUACCCCUCUACAAAAAAUAUGAUUCUAAUAUCAAACAUUUGUUUGAUUAAUUCUAAUAAUCAAAUAACUGACCAAGUAAAAAGGCAAACAAAAAUUCAUAAAGCACAAUUCUAUUAUUUUUGUCAUAUCGAAAUAAAUCACAAUACGUAAUAACAUUUGAAAGUAAAUUAAAAAUGUAUAAAAGAAAAGUACAAUAAGUAAGAUUUUUUUUUACUUUCUUUAACUUUUAAUAUUGGUUUUCCUCUUAUUUUUCAUCAUUGAUUAUUUUUUGUAUCAAAUAUUCCAAUGAUGAGUUGAUAUUUAUAAUAGACACUGUAAGAUAGUCUAAUAAAAUUCUAAGAACCCACAAAACAACUUUGCCGACUCCUAUUUAUAGAAAGUGUAAGAUAUGGUAUACAAACACUUAUAUUAAAAUGAGUUCAAAUAUUAUUAGUGUUUUUUUGUUUGUCAUCAUAUUAUUAGUGUUAUAUACAAAGAAAUUGUUGAUGAAGCAUUAGGUGAUAUCUAAAUUAAUUUAUAUUAAUAAUUAAUUUUAUACUGUGUAAAUUAAAAUUGUCAGUACCUUUUUGUUUAUAUUUAUCUUAACAUUACCCUUUAUUCUUUUGUCUACAAUAAUAUAAAAUUAGUUAUAUCUAUACAUGUAGAGAAAUAUCAUUAUGUCCAAAUAAAAAAUAAUGUAAACCACAAAUUUGAAACAGAUUUAAUAGAUUAGAUAACAAACAUCAUGAUAAAAGCAAAAAUAGUUCUCCCCACAACAUAAACUCAAUACAUUGUAAAACAAAAAAAAACAUUAUAUAUAGCAGAAUAAUAUACAUUAAAAAUACACAAUAAUAUAAUAGUAUAGUCACACCGGUAUAUCUCAUAAACAAAUUAAUAAUAACACCAUAAAAGUGAUACUUAACCGCGCAUGGCGCGGAUAGUAUUCUAGUUCUAUUUAUAUACUACCGCUAUAAUCAAUAUCACGGUGGAUGCCAUAGUCACCACCAAUCUAACAACACUUUUUAUUUUACUUUUUAUUUAAAUGAUAGAUGUUUUUGAUGUGCUAUCACCGGUAAUUUGUAUAGAAAAAGGAUAUAACCGGAAGAAGAAAAAACGAAUACUAUCGAAUCUAAUUAUGUCAAAUCAAAUGAUAAAUUCUUAAUUUUGUCUCCGGUUAUCUCACCGAUAAGCCCUGGUUAAUUUGACACUAUAGUAAAUGUAAAUGUAGAGUGAUUUAUUUGUUUGUGGUUAAAUUACAAAAUCUGCCAUUGUCGGUGGCUCUAAUCCCGACGGGUCAUAUCAACGAGCACACACACAGUAGCACUCAUACUUCAAAUCCUCCUCCGUUGUAACCAAGACAAGUGCAUCGAUUCCUCCGGAUCUGAACCAAUGUUCGGCCGAUCUGCGCUUCACCGAGCCGGCGGUUUCCGUCCGGAGAACCUAGGUCAAAACGCACUUAACCUAAUGGGAAACAUAGGCUUCUCACUCUUCGUCGUGGGCGUACUGGUCUUCACCAUCAUCGCCGCCACAUACGAGCCGGAAGACCCUCUUUUCCACCCUUCCGACAAGAUCACCACUUUCCUCACAUCGACAUCCAACGCCACCUUGAGAUCGGACGACUCGGUCGUCAAAACCGGCGAAGAUUUCAUGGCCGUGAACCAAACGGCCUUCGCAGCGUUCAUCAACAUCACCGACGUGGAAGCCAGCGCGAACGAGGAGAACGCGGAAGGCAACCAGGUCGAUUGCGAUGCGAGCGUCCCCAUUGAUUGCAAAGACUCUGAGGUUUUCCAUCUCAUGAUGAAAGCCACCAUUGAGAGGUUCAAAGACAUUCACUUUUACAAGUUUGGUAAGCCUGCGGUUGGUGAAGGUGCCAACUCUUGUGAUAUGGCGUGGCGUUAUAGGCCUAAGGAUGGCAAGUCUGCUGCCUUUUACAAGGAUUACAGAAGGUUUGUGAUUCACAAGUCUGACAAUUGUAGUCUUAGCGUGGCGAGUAUUGGAGACUAUCAUUCUGGUUUGAACGCUAGGAAGAGGAAGAGGAAUCAGAAAGCUGGUUUUGAGAAGAGUGAUGGCAAGAGAGAUGAUUUCUCUUUGCCUCUUGUUGGUGAAGCUGUGAAUGACUCUCUUCCUACCGUUGAGUCUGACAAGGCUUUUAAAAGCGGCAAGUACUUGGUUUAUGUCGGUGGAGGUGAUAGGUGCAAGACCAUGAACCAUUUCCUUUGGAGCUUCUUGUGUGCGCUUGGUGAAGCUCAGUAUUUGAACCGGACUUUGGUCAUGGAUCUCACUCUGUGUCUCUCUUCUGUCUACACUUCCUCUGGGCAGAACGAGGAAGGCAAGGACUUUAGGUUCUACUUUGAUUUCGAGCAUUUGAAAGAAGCUGCUUCUGUCUUGGAUGAGGCUCAGUUUUGGGCAGAGUGGGGGAAGUUGCAUAACAAGAAGACUAGGUUGGGCCUUCAUCUUGUGGAGGAUUUUAGGGUCACGCCCAUGAAGCUUGCAGAUGUCAAAGAUACGUUGAUUAUGAGGAAGUUCGGGUCAGUAGAGCCUGAUAACUACUGGUACAGAGUUUGCGAAGGAGAUGCAGAAUCUGUUGUUAAAAGACCGUGGCAUCUUCUCUGGAAGUCAAGAAGGUUGAUGGAGAUCGUCUCUGCCAUUGCGUCGAGGCUAAACUGGGAUUACGAUGCAGUACAUAUCGAGAGAGGGGAGAAAGCAAGAAACACGGAGCUUUGGCCCAAUCUUGAUAAAGAUACUUCUCCGAGUGCUCUCUUGUCGACCUUGCAGGACAAAGUAGAAGAAGGAAGGAAUCUCUACAUCGCAACGAAUGAAGCGGAGCUAUCUUUCUUCAAUCCUUUGAAAGACAAAUACGCUACUCAUUUUCUUGACGAGUACAAAGACCUGUGGGACGAGAGCAGCGAGUGGUAUUCGGAGACCACAAAGCUUAAUGGAGGCAACCCGGUCGAGUUUGAUGGUUACAUGAGAGCAUCUGUUGAUACAGAAGUGUUCUUGAGAGGGAAGAAGCAGAUUGAAACAUUCAAUGAUCU
rnacentral:lncRNA from 1 species